AGCAGCAGCCGCGGUAAUACGUAGGGUGCGAGCGUUAAUCGGAAUUACUGGGCGUAAAGCGUGCGUAGGCGGUGAGUUAAGUCUGCUGUGAAAUCCCCGGGCUCAACCUGGGAAUGGCAGUGGAUACUGGCAAGCUAGAGUGUGUCAGAGGAUGGUGGAAUUCCCGGUGUGGCGGUGAAAUGCGUAGAGAUCGGGAGGAACAUCAGUGGCGAAGGCGGCCAUCUGGGACAACACUGACGCUGAGGCACGAAAGCGUGGGGAGCAAACAGGAUUAGAUACCCGCGUAGUCCCUGUCUCUUAUAA
rnacentral:rRNA from 1 species